CGGAGGGAAGAGCUCGGGGUGAUCGCAUGGCACACACCAUAGAUUAAACCGCCUGGGAAUGUUUACUCUGAUAACAAACAUGUGUUUUGGAAAUUAAUACUCUGAUUAUGUUUUGGAUUGAUGAAUUUUCUUUAAGUAAUGUUUUAUUAAAAGAAAUUUUUAGUCUUGAAUUUUGGGGCGUUACGUGGUGACUGUGUUUUAUUGAAGGUCUCACCCUGGAAGGGCUUGAUAUGCUUCGGAAAGUGUGGGAAGCUAAAUCCAAGAUACGUAGGGCCUUUCAAGAUUCUCGCUAGAAUCGGACCUACAACUUAGAAACUCAAACUACCUCACCUUAGUAACGUACUCCCUACUUUCAACGUUUCGAAGUUGAAAAAGUGUAUAUCCGUGGUGACUGUGUUUUAUUGAAGGUCUCACCCUGGAAGGGCUUGAUAUGCUUCGGAAAGUGUGGGAAGCUAAAUCCAAGAUACGUAGGGCCUUUCAAGAUUCUCGCUAGAAUC
rnacentral:lncRNA from 1 species